GAAAACAGAGCCRGAGUGGACUCAUUUUCUUCUGACUUUCCCUAGUGUAAAUCAGGAGCARCCACGCUCGGACAACUCAUUUCAGUGCAGUCCCCAUCCUCCUCAUCACUGGGGGAGAGCGGAAGUUUCCUGGCUGACGCUGGGGACGCCAACGGGGUGAUGUCGGCUGGCAGCCCGGCAGCGUGGCACGACAAGUAUCACGAGGAGAAGGUGGCUCUGCAACUCAAAGAAGCUGGUGUAUGAUAUGACAACUGCCAGAAGGUGACAUAAAAUUGAAGACAACCAGGGUGAAGAAGAGAAAACCUAGUUCUUCUAUGGAGGUCAGCAACUUUGCAGGA
rnacentral:lncRNA from 1 species